CCUACGGGAGGCAGCAGUGAGGAAUAUUGGUCAAUGGACGAGAGUCUGAACCAGCCACGUCGCGUGAAGGAUGACUGCCCUAUGGGUUGUAAACUUCUUUUAUAUGGGAAUAAAACGUUCCACGUGUGGGAUUUUGUAUGUACCAGAUGAAUAAGUAUCGGCUAACUCCGUGCCAGCAGCCGCGGUAAUACGGAGGAUCCUUGCGUUAUCCGGAUUUAUUGGGUUUAAAGGGUGCGGAGGUGGAUUGUUAAGUCAGUUGUGAAAGUUGGCGGCUCAACCGUAAAAUUGCAGUUGAAACUGGCAGUCUUGAGUACAGUAGAGGUGGGCGGAAUUCGUGGUGUAGCGGUGAAAUGCGUAGAUAUCACGAAGAACUCCGAUUGCGAAGGCAGUUCACUGGACUGCAACUGACACUGAGGCUCGAAAGUGUGGGUAUCGAACAGGAUUAGAUACCCGGGUAGUC
rnacentral:rRNA from 1 species